AACUGCGAAUGGCUCAUUAUAUAAGUUAUCGUUGAUUUGAUACUGCCUUUCCUACAUGGAUAACAGUGGUAAUUCUAGAGCUAAUACGUGCAAACAGCCCCGACUUCGGAAGGGGCGUAUUUUUCAGACCCAGAACCAACGCCCUCACGGGCUCUCUGGUGGCUCAUGAUAACUCCACAGAUCGCACGGCCUCUGCGCUGGCGAUGGCUCAUUCAAAUUUCUUCCCUAUCAACUUUCGACGGUACGGUCUUGGCCUACCGUGGUUGCAACGGGUGACGGAGGGUUAGGGCUCGACCCCGGAGAAGGAGCCUGAGAGACGGCUACUACAUCUAAGGAAGGCAGCAGGCGCGCAAAUUAUCCAAUCCCGACUCGGGGAGAUAGUGACAAUAAAUACCGAUACAGGGCUCUUUUGGGCCCUGUAAUUGGAAUGAGUACAAUUUAAACCUCUUAACGAGGAGCAAUUGGAGGGCAAGUCUGGUGCCAGCAGCCGCGGUAAUUCCAGCUCCAAUAGCGUAUAUUAAAGUUGUUGUGGUUAAAAAGCUCGUAGUCGACCCUCGGGCUCGGCCGGCCGGUCCGCCUCACCGCGUGCACUGGCCUGGCCGGGCUCUUCCCUCUGCGUAGCCGCAUGCCCUUCACUGGGCGUGCCGGCGAGGCAGGACUUUUACUUUGAAAAAAUUAGAGUGCUCCAGGCAGGCCAAUGCUCGGAUACAUUAGCAUGGAAAUAAUGAAAUAGGACGUUUGGUUCUAUUUUGUUGGUUUUUAGGACCGCCGUAAUGAUCGAUAGGGACGGUCGGGGGCAUCAGUAUUCAGCCGCGAGAGGUGAAAUUCUUAGACCGGCUGAAGACUAACUACUGCGAAAGCAUUUGCCAAGGACGUUUUCGCUGAUCAGGAACGAAAGUUAGGGGAUCGAAGACGAUCAGAUACCGUCGUAGUCUUAACCAUAAACGGUGCCGACUUGGGAUCGGGCGCUGUUCUUUCUAGACGCGCUUGGCACCAUUUCGAGAAA
rnacentral:rRNA from 1 species